GAGAAAAAACGGUCCCACUAAAAUGUCAAUAAACCCCACUAUCUUGAUGUCAAAACCAAAGGAGUUUUCUGUCCACCAUUAUAUUCCAGUGAGUGCGCCAACCGCCAGAAAUACACCAAGGCAAUGCCAAAAUUGUAGCACUUGUGGCUGAUUCAGGUUCAAUUAAUUGAUGAUUGUGAAGUUGGUACUCUGUUACCAUUCUCAAACAAAAAAAAUAAAAAUUGGUAACUUUUGCUCUUUCAAUCAAAAACCAGAAAGUGUAUUACUUAGAGAUCUUGGAACAUGAUAUUUUCACUUUGUGUUCUCUCUCUUUUUGUGUAGGGAAAAUGAAUUUGAAAGCUGAUAAAUUUUCGGGGAUAAUUGCAGCCGUUGCAGAAUUUUAAGCGAAUUGCCGCAAAAAAAAAAAAAUCAUCUUAUAACCAUGGCGAAUUGCCGCUGGCAGAUUGCGAUGGAACUUCAAGGUGGAAGUCCGUCACCAAAAAUUCUGGUGAACCCUUUCCUUCGAGCAUAGUGUUUGUGAAAUGGAAGGUAUAAUAAGUUAUUAAAAUCGAGUACCCUCUUAUAUUGUUAUAUUCUAGACCGAUUUCAUACUGUGUUUUUUAUUUAAUAAGUUCUAACAUGCGUCGGGUUUUUUCACCGAUUGAAGUAUUUUUGAGUUUGCAAUUUUAUUGAUUAACUUUGAGGUUUUGAUCUAUUUAUCUAUUUAUAGUCAUAAUUUUUAGGAUAGCUGGAUGGAGUAACGAUUUAUGGUAGGUGCAAAUAUACACCAUUUUAAAAGCGUAUUGAUUGCCUCAUAAUCUUAAAAAUCUUUGGUGUAUUUCAGUAAAGUUGGAAGCAAAUGUUCCAGAAAACUAAAUUUUAGCUAUGGCAAGAAAACAGAUUAGGAAAAAGCUUUCAAAGCUGACUGUCCUUUUUAAGAGUUUUGAAGAUUGAUAAAAAGAAGUAUGGUUAUUUUGAGAAUUAUUGAUGGAUUUGGUGAUUGAGUGAAAAACAAAUAAGAAGAAGAAAAAAAGAUGAUUCGUGCAUAAUUGAGCGCGCAUCUUUUUUCCUUGAAAUAUGCAUGCACAAGUAUUCAUUUAGCUAAUUAGUUUAACAAUAUCUGGUAAAACUUACAAAACAAGGCUGAAACUUUAAGGGAUAGGAGUUGGGAAAUUCUUUAUUUGGUUUUUACCAUGAAUUGCAUAAAGCAAAAAGAGAUGGCAUGAACUUCAUGAGAGAUGAGUUGGGAAAUUCUUUAUUUGGUCUGUGAGCUGAACUACAUAAAUCAAAGGGAGAUGGCAUAACUAUAUAUUCUGAAAAAUUAGUAGUAUAGAUAGGACACAAGUUGAGCGAAAUAAAUUCUUAAACUGCUCAGACAUCAAGUGGGUUACACUCUCGGUGCAGAACUUUAAAAGUCCGAUUCAUUUCAACAGAGGAAGUAGGUAUAUGUGAACAGAGGGAAUUCACCUGAUUUCGUGUUGUGCAUAUGCGAUGACAGAUCCGACGAGGACAUGUUUUGAGCGCAAGUAGACAAUAUUUCUUCCUGAUAAAGCAGAAGCCUUUGCCUGCUCCGUCAGGCAGAAGCCGGGUAUGGCAAAGCACUAUCUCGAUGAUCCAGUUGAAGUUGUAAAAAUGCUUCAAGGCCUUUCAGCAGCUCCCACCUAAAUUGACAGUCCAUCAAGCAUCUCCUGAAGCCAUCACUCCAUAGUUAAGAGUCAUACACUCUUUGUAUAAAAAAGCAAAAAAAAAAACUCAUAGAAUUCUAUCUUUUGCAGUUGGUUGGAUAUAUCAUAUAUGCUAUCUUAUGCAUGUAAUUAUGCGCAGAGAGUGUUCAUUUCAUUCUAUUUACCCUCACAGGCACCAACCAUAUCAGAUAUUGCAUUAUCACAUCACAAGUCUGUUGAAACAACACCAUGCUGAGAAAGAUUAAUCCACACAUUCAGAAGUCCUGAGUCAAGAGAUCUACCAGCCUCUUGUAUAGUUUAAUAUAGUUCGAGAGAUCUACCAGCCUGGGUCAGAUUAUUAUGCAGUGCAAACUCUAGGAUCGUGAGCAAACAGAUUGCCCACUUGCCUAUAUUACUUUGCCAAAGAGAUUAUGGCUAAAGUUGUAGCCAGCCCAAGCCUUUGAGGUGGUAUAUUUUAGAUUAAUCAUGUAAUUAAUUAUUUUAUGAGAAGCUUAAGAGAUAUUUAUUGUCACGACCCAAUUCGUGGAUCGUGGUGGCACCUACUCUAUCCCCCUGGGUAGGUGAACCACAUCCCAAAUUACUAGAACAAGUUAAUCAAAAGCGGAUUUUAAUAAGGAACAAUUUAUCAAGUCUUAAUAA